GGCACCUAACUUUAACAUCUAUAAAAAUUAAUCAAACCAUAUUCAUAAAUAGCAUAUUCAAUCUUGUCAAUGGAUUAAUAAAUAGAUAAGUAAAAAAUAUUUAAAAAUUAAAAAAUUGAAUCUGUAGUAUCAAUGGAAAAGAAGCAUCCAUAACUUCUACACCUACAACACAACACUAUAAAAAAAGGGCAAGUAGCAAAAGAAUAGGACAUCAAUAAAGCCAAACAGAUAACCUUUUAAUACACAAAUCAUACUCCAAUUCACACACAAAUCAUACUCCAAUUCACCACCAC
rnacentral:misc_RNA from 1 species